rnacentral:lncRNA from 1 species
GAGUAGGAAUGUAAACCGGCGUAGGGACGUAAACCGGGGUUUCCGGUGUAGAGACGUAACCCGGGGCUUUCGGUGUAGGGAAGUAACCCGGGGCUUCCGGUACGUAAACCGGGACUACCGGUGUAGGGACGUAAACCGGGACUUCCGGUGUAGGGACGUAGAUCGGGGAAGCAGGUGUGGUUGUGUAAAUUGUAUUCGCUGGAGUGAUGGGAUUGGGAACGAUAAU